UACGUAGGGCGCAAGCGUUGUCCGGAAUUAUUGGGCGUAAAGAGCUCGUAGGCGGUCUGUCGCGUCUGCUGUGAAAACUCAGGGCUUAACCCUGAGCUUGCAGUGGGUACGGGCAGACUAGAGUGCGGUAGGGGGAGACUGGAAUUCCUGGUGUAGCGGUGAAAUGCGCAGAUAUCAGGAGGAACACCGGUGGCGAAGGCGGGUCUCUGGGCCGUAACUGACGCUGAGGAGCGAAAGCAUGGGGAGCGAACAGG
rnacentral:rRNA from 1 species